UACGUAGGGGGCAAGCGUUGUCCGGAUUUAUUGGGCGUAAAGAGCGUGUAGGCGGUUUGGUAGGUCCGUUGUGAAAACUCGAGGCUCAACCUCGAGACGCCGAUGGAAACCAUCAGACUAGAGUCCGGAAGAGGAGAGUGGAAUUCCUGGUGUAGCGGUGAAAUGCGCAGAUAUCAGGAAGAACACCCGUGGCUAAGGCGGCUCUCUAGUACGGUACCGACGCUGAGACGCGAAAGCGUGGGGAGCGAACAGG
rnacentral:rRNA from 1 species